UACGUAGGGUCCGAGCGUUGUCCGGAAUUAUUGGGCGUAAAGAGCGUGUAGGCGGUUCGGUAAGUCUGCCGUGAAAACCUGGGGCUCAACCCUGGGCGUGCGGUGGAUACUGCCGGGCUAGAGGGUGGUAGAGGCGAGUGGAAUUCCCGGUGUAGCGGUGAAAUGCGCAGAUAUCGGGAGGAACACCAGUAGCGAAGGCGGCUCGCUGGGCCAUUCCUGACGCUGAGAGCGAAAGCCG
rnacentral:rRNA from 1 species